AGGGCGCAUGGCGGAUGCCUUGGCUCUCGGAGGCGAUGAAGGACGUGAUAAGCUGCGAUAAGCUUUGGGGAGGUGCAAAUGACCUUUGAUCCAGAGAUUUCCGAAUGGGACAACCCAAUAUCUUGAAGAGGUAUUAUCCAACGUUGUUGGAGGCUAACGCAGGGAACUGAAACAUCUUAGUACCUGCAGGAAAAGAAAAUAAACAAUGAUUCCCCCAGUAGUGGCGAGCGAACGGGGAACAGCCCAAACCAUCCAUGUUACGGCAUGGGUGGGGUUGUAGGACUACGCCGUUGCAUGAAGACAUCAGAGAAGAACUUUCUGGAAAGAAAGACCAUAGAGCAUGACAGUUGCGUAUUCGAAUGUUGUCGAAGCAUAGUAGUAUCCUGAGUAGCGCGGAGCACGAGGAAUUCUGCGUGAAUCUGCCGGGACCAUCCGGUAAGGCUAAAUACUCCCGAGAGACCGAUAGCGAACCAGUACCGUGAGGGAAAGGUGAAAAGCACUUCGAACAGAAGAGUGAAAUAGUUCCUGAAACCGUGCGCCUACAAGCGGUCGGAGCUCGUUAAUGAGUGACGGCGUGCCUUUUGCAUAAUGAACCUACGAGUUGCCUUUGCCGGCAAGGUUAAGUGUGACGACACACGUAUCCGAAGCGAAAGCGAGUCUGAAGAGGGCGUAUAGUCGGCAGUGGCAGACGCGAAACCAAGUGAUCUACCCUUGGCCAGGUUGAAGGCUGGGUAACACCAGCUGGAGGACCGCACCAAUAAGCGUUGAAAAGCUUCUGGAUGAGCUGAGGGUAGGGGUGAAAGGCUAAUCAAACUUGGAGAUAGCUCGUACUCCCCGAAAUGCAUUUAGGUGCAGCCUUGCGGGUUACUGAUGUGAGGUAGAGCGACUGAUAAGAUGCGAGGGCUUCACCGCCUAUCAAGUCUUGACAAACUCCGAAUGCGCAUCAGUUCUACCGCAGGAGUGAGGGCAUGGGUGCUAAGGUCCGUGCCCGAGAGGAGAAGAAUCCGGACCACCUGCUAAGGUCCCGAAAUGACAGCUAAGUUAAACUAACGAAGUCUGACUGCUAAGACAGCUAGGAUGUUGGCUUGGAAGCAGCCAUUCAUUUAAAGAGUGCGUAACAGCUCACUAGUCGAGGAGUCGGGCGUGGAUAAUAAUCGGGUAUGAAGUUGUCUACCGAAGCAGUGGGAUCAUUUAUAUGAUCGGUAGGGGAGCAUUCCAGUCAGCGUCGAAGGCGUACCGUGAGGUAUUCUGGAGCGUCUGGAAAAGCAAAUGUAGGUAUAAGUAACGAUAAAGGGGGCGGGAAACCCCCUCGCCGAAAGACUAAGGUUUCCUGAUCAACGCUAAUCGGAUCAGGGUCAGUCGGGUCCUAAGGCUCAGCCGAACGGCGAUGCCGAUGGCAGAAACGGUUAAUAUUCCGUUACUACCUUCAGGAGUGACGUGGAGACGCAGUAGUGACAGUGCCGCCAUCUGACGGAAUAGAUGGUUGAAGGGUGUAGGAGUCGAUCAUGGCAGGCAAAUCCACCAUGAGAUCCGAACCUGACAGUAUGCCGCGUCCUUCGGGACAAGGCAAUAGUGCGCGUAAGCAUGCUGCCGAGAAAAUCCGCUAAACUUAAUCCUGCAGGUACCCGUACCGCAAACGGACACACGUAGUCGGGAUGAAUAUUCUAAGGCGCUUGAGUGAUUCACGGUUAAGGAACUAGGCAAACUGACCCUGUAACUUCGGGAUAAAGGGUCCCUACCCUUUUAUGGGAGGGCGCAGAGAAUCGGUCCAGGCAACUGUUUAACAAAAACACAGGGCUGUGCCAAAUCGAAAGAUCCAGUAUACAGCCUGACACCUGCCCGGUGCUGGAAGGUUAAGAGGAGAUGUCAUCGAUAAGAGAAGCGUUGAAUUGAAGCCCCAGUAAACGGCGGCCGUAACUAUAACGGUCCUAAGGUAGCGAAAUUCCUUGUCGGGUAAGUUCCGACCUGCACGAAUGGUGUAAUGAUCUGGACGCUGUCUCAACCGUGAGCUCAGUGAAAUUGUAGUAUCGGUGAAGAUGCCGAUUACCCGCGAUGGGACGAAAAGACCCCGUGAACCUUUACUAUAGCUUAUCAUUGAAUCUGGGCACGUGAUGUGUAGGAUAGGUCGGAGGCUUUGAAGCAGGUACGCCAGUAUUUGUGGAGCCGCUGUUGAAAUACGACCCUUUAUUUGUUUGGAUUCUAACCCGUGGAUACGGGGACAUUGAUUGGUGGGUAGUUUGACUGGGGUGGUCGCCUCCAAAAGCGUAACGGAGGCUUCUAAAGGUGCCCUCCGGCCGAUUGGUAACCGGCCUUAGAGUGUAAUGGCAUAAGGGCGCUUGACUGGGAGACU
rnacentral:rRNA from 1 species